CUCCCUACGGGGCGCAGCAGUAGGGAAUCUUCCACAAUGGACGAAAGUCUGAUGGAGCAACGCCGCGUGAGUGAAGAAGGGUUUCGGCUCGUAAAGCCCUGUUGGUAGUGAAGAAAGAUAGAGGGAGUAACUGGCCUUUAUUUUACGGUAAUUACUUAGAAAGUCACGGCUAACUACGUGCCCGCAGCCGCGGUAAUACGUAGGUGGCAAGCGUUGUCCGGAUUUUUUGGGCGGAAA
rnacentral:rRNA from 1 species